rnacentral:SRP_RNA from 1 species
GACUCGGACUCAUGCGAUCGCAACGCUUAACCUUGUCAGGACCGGAAGGUAGCAGCAAUACGGGAUGCUUGUGACUGGCGUGAUAUCCGGGUCUUU